UUCUUUCCCUAUGUCUCACUUGUAGUAAUUAAAAUAUUAAUCUCUAUUUUUUCUUCUAAAUAACUGAAAUAACUGCUUCCCUCAACAUUCUUGUGUACUGGGAUAUAGUACAAGAAAGCUGGAGGGGGUACUAAGGUGUGGCUGAGACCUAAGGAAGCAAUGAAAUGCUGACCAGAUGCUGCAUUUCCUGUUGAUUUGAGGCGUUAGUUCAUUAGACCACUAAUCAAAACCAUGUGCUCUGCUAACAAACCAUUUCAUCCCCUGAGUGCUGGAGCAGGCACAUGCUGUUCCCAACUAAUUAGGACCUGCUUCAAGUCAAUGAAGAGUCUCUAGUUGGCUUCUCUCUGGGAUCAAUGUGUCGGAGAGGUGUACAAGAACAAACAAAGGAGGAUGACUCAUGGAGCGGAAGACAGAAAGACAGAGCAUCUUGAUCAGGAAAGGACAAAGGAAAUAGGCUGAUUCCUCAGAAGCCAAGGGUUGGCAGACCUGCAAGCAAAGUACAAGAGAUUACCGAACUAUAAGUGUGCCACUGACUCUAUCCUAGGAUCAGCAGCUUGUGGGAGAAUCAUGGAAUACUUACCAAAGUAGUGAUGUGAAAAGAAGGGAAAUGCUGAUUCAGGACAGACUACAGGUAUUUCCUGAGAGAAAUGGUGAUGCAUUUAACAAUUGCUUUUGUGGAUUUUCAUGUCGCCUAGGAUCAGAGAUCUCUGAUUCAUUUGAGGUCAGAGGCAAGCUAACGUCCAUAGGGUAUUCAUCAGUUCUGGGAAUCAACUUUCUGACUUCAACCGAAAGGCCUGUUUUCAUCUGCUGUAAAAGAACAUUCUGCCACUCUCCAGGAUCACCCAAAACAGAUUGUGCUUUGUGGAGAUAUUCACCAUAUUCAACUGAACACUGUCAUGGAUGAUAG
rnacentral:lncRNA from 1 species